rnacentral:rRNA from 1 species
UUAGUUGGUGGAGUGAUUUGUCUGGUUAAUUCCGUUAACGAACGAGACCUCAGCCUGCUAAAUAGAUGGGCGAACACUUCUGUGUUCGUUUCCCAGCUUCUUAGAGGGACUUUCUGUUUCUAGCAGAAGGAAGUGUGAGGCAAUAACAGGU